CGAAAACCUAAUUUACAAAGAUCCAUCUGUCAAACUUCAACGCCGGUGUCACACGAUCAGCUGACAAACAAUUGAAACGUCAGUCUGUAAAUCGUAAUAUAAACAAGAUGAAAUUUAGGGAAAAAUCAACUAUAAUCAGACCCAACAUUCCCACUUGUUGCGUUGAAAACAGA